ACAUUGGUGGUUCAGUGGUAGAAUUCUUGCCUUUCAUGCGGGAAACCAGGGUUCGAUUCCUGGCCAAUGCA
rnacentral:tRNA from 1 species